CACUAGAAUAAUAAGGUUUAAAAUUGGAACGACAUAAGUUGGAUAAAAAAGAAUAGCUAAUGGACCGGUGGAUACCAUGCUGGUUCUCUUGGUUUGUUCUUAUUUUUACGCCUGAUGGUGCUGUAAUUAUUCAUUUAUCAAGCGCAUAGAAUUUUUCCUUUUUCAUCAUAAGUCCCGAUGGCUCUUGCGAUAGGCAACCGAAUUUUAACAUCCUUGUCCGGUUUCCAACGCCGCCUUGCGAGCGAUGGCAAAGAGGAUGUAUAAAAAGGCAGCUAUUAGAGGGAAAUGUAAAAGUAACUCGUGCAAUCCCGCAAAAGCAACAACCGAAACGGCUCGUGUGAGGUCAAAAUAUUGUCAACUGUUAACAAGAAUGGAUACAUAUAAAAUUAUUCUGCUUCUUAGCGCAUAAAUUGGUGCACUCUAAUACACUCGAGAUGAAUUCUAAUACUUUCUGAAGUCUACGGUUCUCAAGGCGUCAAAUACGCUAACGCCAUAGUGGAAAUGGAGGAUACCGUUAAUGUAAAUACAAAAUCUUAAAGGACACAAUUGUAAAUUUUGCAUCCACUUUGUCCUCCUCCUUACGAUUUCGGAAUUUAAACAGCAGUCAAUAUUACAAUUUUGACUCCUUUGCCUUUUUUUUUCUUCACAUGAUUGCAAAGUUGACAGAGAACUUCCAUCGAGCGUCCAAUACUUUCUUCUUUCUUUCAUGCAAUAACUGUAACGACGCCUAAACCGCUGCCUUUUUCAGUUUUAUUUUUUUUAAUUUUUUUUUUGUAAUACCUAAGGUUCCAUCAAGGUUUCAACAUUUUUUAGCAAUUAAUUUAUUAUUUAUUAUUUUUUUUUACCAAAAGCCACCGACCGAUAGAAGUAAAUUCGCUGGGACAGAAAGUACAUUCGCUUUACUUGAGAUUAAGAAUGCUAUUACGUUUACUGAGCUGUAGUUUUUCGAGGAGCUCUGUCGCACCGUACCAUAGUAGACCCUGACGAUUGCCUGCUACCGGAGGCUAUUCAUGAUGUUUUUGAACAAACUCUUCAAGCUGAUUUUUUUCUAGGGGAAUGUGCAGUACUUCAGUUCCAUCUGGGGUUCGUCGUAUUCGCAACAGCUUGUGAUCUUUGAAUUCUGUCAAUUGGGCACGCAACGUCAAAUCGGAAUUGACCAACAUUCGAUCUCUACAUUCGCUGUAGAGUUCAUGGAACGGAAAUCCUGCAACAAACAACACGUUUUUUUAUUCAUAUUACCAAAAGACGUUAGAAAAUAAAGGAAUACCAUGAUAA